CGGGAUAUGGCGCAGUGUGGAAGCGCGCAGCUCCUCGGGCGGGUGAGGCCGCAGGUUCAAAUCCUGCUAUUCCGAC
rnacentral:tRNA from 2 species